CAAGCAGCACAAGUGUGGGGUUGUGUGAUUUAGGAUCUGGUAGUGUAGUUGGAGACAAGAGAAAGAGAUUUCUUGGCUUCACAUCCUUGUUGACUACACCCAGUAUACCUGAAGAUGAAGAAGAAGAGAUGCCUCGAGUUGUGUAUGAAAAUAUUGAAAACAUACCUCCUCUACCGAAGACAUACAUCAAGAGUCCUGCAAAGCUGAAGAGAAAACGUGGAGAUGAGGUGAACCUGAACUUGGAGGCAAAAUUUGAAAGUCAUCCACUCAAGUUAUGAAAAUAAUCAAAGAACAAAUAUUGUAUUACUUUGAAUCGAGUUUCUAAAAUGCUAAACUUUUUCAAAAUUGGAUAAGAAUAAGGGGGUCAAAUUCGUCGCGCACGAAAAACUGACCCUAUUUUUUUUCUGAAAAACAUAACAUAGUGUCUAACGUGUGCAUCAAAAAAGUCAUAGUUAGAUUUAGUAUU